UACGGAGGGUGCAAGCGUUAUCCGGAUUUACUGGGCUUAAAGGGCGCGUAGGCGGGCAGGUAAGUCCGUGGUGAAAUCUCUGAGCUUAACUCAGAAACUGCCAUGGAUACUAUUUGUCUUGAAUAUUGUGGAGGUAAGCGGAAUAUGUCAUGUAGCGGUGAAAUGCUUAGAUAUGACAUAGAACACCAAUUGCGAAGGCAGCUUACUGGGCAGUUAUUGACGCUGAGGCACGAAAGCGUGGGGAGCAAACAGG
rnacentral:rRNA from 1 species